UCAGGCCUAACACAUGCAAGUCGAACGAGACCUUCGGGUCUAGUGGCGCACGGGUGCGUAACGCGUGGGAACCUGCCUUUAGGUUCGGAAUAACUCAGAGAAAUUUGAGCUAAUACCGGAUGAUGUCUUCGGACCAAAGAUUUAUCGCCUUUAGAUGGGCCCGCGUUGGAUUAGCUAGUUGGUGGGGUAAAGGCCUACCAAGGCGACGAUCCAUAGCUGGUCUGAGAGGAUGAUCAGCCACACUGGGACUGAGACACGGCCCAGACUCCUACGGGAGGCAGCAGUGGGGAAUAUUAAAGAAUGGGCGAAAGCCUGAUCCAGCAA
rnacentral:rRNA from 1 species